UGAGUUUGAUCCUGGCUCAGGAUGAACGCUAGUAAUAUGCUUAACACAUGCAAGUUGAACGAAAUUAUUUCGUAGCGUACGGGUGAGUAAAGUGCAGAAUGCUGCCUUUUAGUUCAGAACAAAACGAGCAUUUAUGUUCGUAAAAAUACUGGAUAAUAGAAAAGGUUACGCUUUUAACAGCGUUUCCGCUAAAAGAUGGGUCUGUGCAAGAUUAGGUAGUUGGUAAUUGUAACAGCUUACCAAGCCUUUGAUCUUUAGUUGGUCUUAGAGGACGAUCAACCACACUGGAACUGAAAUAAGGUCCAGGCUAAUUUUUUGGCCAGCAGUGAGGAAUAUUGGACAAUGAACGAAAGUUUGAUCCAGCGAUAUUAUCUGAAUGAAGACGGCUUUUUUUAGUUGUAAAAUUCUUUCGUUAAGAAAUGAUAAUGACAUUAUUUAAAGAAGUUUAAGUCCCGGCCAAUACUCGUGCCAGCAGCCGCGGUAAUACGGGGGGGGCGAGCGUUAUCCAUCAUGACUGGGCGUAAAGGGUCUGUAGACGGUGAAGUAAGUUACUUGUUAAAUUUUAAAGCCUAACUUUAAGUCAGCUUGUAAUACUGCUUUACUUGAGUUUUAUACAGAAGAGUAGAAUUUUAUACGUAAGGGUAAAAUCUUGAAAUAUAUAAAGGAACACCAGUAGCGAAGGCGACUCUUUGGUAAAAACUGACGUUGAGAGACGAAAGUGUGGGUAGCAAACAGGAUUAGAUACCCUGGUAGUCCACACUGUAAAUUCUGAGUGCUGAAAUUUAAAAAGGGUAAUCCUAGCCUCAUAAAACUCUAUUAAUGACAUCUGAAUCAUUCGUAUAGUUUUUUGUCGAGGUUUAUUAGAUUUUGAAGCUAACGCCAUAAGCACUCCGCCUGAGGAGUACGAUCGCAAGGUUGGAACUCAAAGGAAUUGACGGGGGCUAAUACUAGUGGUGGAGCAUGUGGUUUAAUGCGAUAAUCCGCGCAGAACCUUACCAAUUCUUGACAUAAAAGUAAAGUUUAAUUUUACAUUUUGUAAUAUAAUUAUAAUUAUGACUUUUACAGGUGUUGCACGACUGUCGUCAGCUCGUGUCGUGAGAUGUUUGGUUAAGUCCUGAAACGGGCGCAACUCUUAUCUUUAACUAAAAGUAUUUACGAGUUAAUAAAUUUUUUCAAAAUGAGUAUUCAUAAAAAUUUAUUAUAAGCUUUAAAGAUACGAUCAACGAUAAGUUGAAGGAAGGUAAGAAUUAAGUCAAGUCAAUGUGACCCUAAUGAAUUGGGCUACACAUGUGCUACAAUGAAAAUCACAAAAAGUAACAAAAAUCCUAAUUUUUAGUUAAUCCUACAAAAGUUUUCCCAGUUCGGAUUGUAGGCUGAAACUCGCCUGCAUGAAGUUGGAAUCACUAGUAAUCGCAAAUC
rnacentral:rRNA from 1 species